rnacentral:rRNA from 1 species
CACGAAGGGGGCUAGCGUUGCUCGGAAUUACUGGGCGUAAAGGGAGCGUAGGCGGAUAUUUAAGUCGGGGGUGAAAGCCCAGGGCUCAACCCUGGAACUGCCUUCGAUACUGGAUAUCUAGAGUAUGGGAGAGGUGUGUGGAACUCCGAGUGUAGAGGUGAAAUUCGUAGAUAUUCGGAAGAACACCAGUGGCGAAGGCGACACACUGGCCCAUUACUGACGCUGAGGCUCGAAAGCGUGGGGAGCAAACAGG